GAUGAAGAACGUAGCGAAAUGCGAUACUUGGUGUGAAUUGCAGAAUCCCGUGAACCAUCGAGUCUUUGAACGCAAGUUGCGCCUCAAGCCAUUAGGUUGAGGGCACGUCUGCCUGGCGUCACAUAUCGUUGCCUGAUGCCAGUUUCCUCGUGAUGGGUGACUGUGCAGGGCGAAUGAUGGCUUCCCGUGAGCAUUGUUGCCUCAUGGUUGGUUGAAAAUUGAGUCCUUGGUAGGGAGCGCCGUGAUAGAUGGUGGUUGAGUGACGAACGAGACCCAAUCAUGUGAGACCCCUACCGAAUUUGGCCUUCAUGACCCACAUGCGUCUUUGGAACGCUCAUGACGAGACCUCAGGUCAGGCGGGGCUACCCGCUGAGUUUAAGCAUAUCAAUAAGCGGAGGA
rnacentral:misc_RNA from 1 species